CCUACGGGCGGCUGCAGUAGGGAAUAUUGCUCAAUGGGGGAAACCCUGAAGCAGCAACGCCGCGUGGAGGAUGAAGGUUUUAGGAUUGUAAACUCCUUUUGUUAGAGAAGAUUAUGACGGUAUCUAACGAAUAAGCACCGGCUAACUCCGUGCCAGCAGCCGUGGUAAUACGGAGGGUGCAAGCGUUACUCGGAAUCACUGGGCGUAAAGAGUGAGUAGGCGGGGUAAUAAGUCAGAUGUGAAAUCCUGUAGCUUAACUACAGAACUGCAUUUGAAACUGUUACUCUGGAGUGUGGGAGAGGGAGGUGGAAUGCUUGGUGUAGGGGUAAAAUGCGUAGAGAUCGAGAGGAAUACUCAUUGCGAAGGCGACCUGCUGGAACAUUACUGACGCUGAUGCACGAAAGCGUGGGGAGCAAACAGGAUUAGAUACCCGAGUAGUC
rnacentral:rRNA from 1 species